rnacentral:rRNA from 1 species
AUGGCGGGCGAGAAGGGCCUGGUGCUGCUGGACUUCUGGGUGAGCCCGUUCGGGCAGCGCUGCCGCAUCGCCCUGGCAGAAAAAGGCCUCCCCUACGAGUACGUCGAAGAGAACCUCAUGGCCGGCAAGAGCGACCGCCUCCUCCGCUCCAACCCCAUCCACAAGAAGAUUCCUGUCCUCCUCCACGACGGCCGCCCCGUCAACGAGUCCCUCAUCAUCCUCAACUACCUCGACGACGCCUUCCCGGACACCCCCUCCCUCCUCCCCUCCGACCCCUACCAGCGCGCGCAGGCUCGCUUCUGGGCCGACUACGUCGACAAGAAGGUCUACGACUGCGGCACCCGGCUCUGGAAGCUCAAGGGCGAGCCGCACGCGCAGGCGCGGGCCGACAUGGUGGAAAUCCUCAAGAAUCUGGACGGGGCGCUCGGGGACAAGGCCUUCUUCGGCGGCCAUGCCUUCGGGUUCGUGGACGCCGCGUUCGCGCCCUUCACCUCGUGGUUCCACAGCUACGAGAAGUACGGCGAGUUCAGCGUCGCGGAGGUGGCGCCGAAGAUCGCGGCUUGGGCAAAGCGGUGCGGCGAGCGGGAGAGCGUCGCCAAGAGCCUCUACUCGCCUGACAAGAUUUACGAGUUCAUCGGUGUGCUCAAGAAGAUGCACGGCGUUGAGUAG